rnacentral:lncRNA from 12 species
UCCCUACAUCUGGAGACAUAUCUGACAGAGCAGGUGCCAUGUUAAUCUGACACAAUUUUUUUUUUUUUUUUAGAUGUGUUGAGGUUGAUGGAACCCAGAGAGUCAUUACUCCACUAUCCACAUGCAGGGAACAGCUGGCCAACCCAAGAUCUAUACCUGGACUCAGGUGAAUCUACGUGGGCC